GCGGGCGUGGUGAAACUGGUAAACACGCGGGACUUAAAAUCCCGUGCCGUAAAUGGCUUGUGGGUUCGAGUCCCACCGCCCGCACCA
rnacentral:tRNA from 1 species